GUAGGUGGCAAGCGUUGUCCGGGAUUAUUGGGCGUAAGGCGCGCGCAGGCGGUCCUUUAGGUCUGAUGUGAAAGCCCACGGCUCAACCGUGGAGGGUCAUUGGAAACUGGGGGACUUGAGUACAGAAGAGGAAAGCGGAAUUCCAAGUGUAGCGGUGAAAUGCGUAGAGAUUUGGAGGAACACCAGUGGCGAAGGCGGCUUUCUGGUCUGUAACUGACGCUGAGGCGCGAAAGCGUGGGGAGCAAACAGGAUUAGAUACCCUGGUAGUCCACGCCGUAAACGAUGAGUGCUAAGUGUUAGGGGGUUUCCCGCCCCCCUUAGUGCUGCAGCUAACGCAUUAAGCACUCCGCCUGGGGAGUACGGCCGCAAGGCUG
rnacentral:rRNA from 1 species